GACGAACGCUGGCGGCGUUGCUUAACACAUGCAAGUCGAACGAUGAAAGAGAAUCCGAUCUCUUCGGAGUGAAGAAUCUCUGGAUUAGUGGCGGACGGGUGAGUAACGCGUGAGCAAUCUGCCUUACACAAAGGGAUAGCCUCGGGAAACCGGGAUUAAUACCAUAUGAUAUCUAUUAACCGCAUGGUUUAUAGAUUAAAGAAUUUCGGUGUAAGAUGAGCUCGCGUCCCAUUAAUUAGUUGGUGAGGGUAACGGCCCACCAAGAUAGCGAUGGGUAGCCGAUCUAAGAGGAUGACCGGCCACAUUGGAACUGAGAAACGGUCCAAACUCCUACGGGAGGCAGCAGUGGGGAAUAUUGCACAAUGGGGGAAACCCUGAUGCAGCGACGCCGCGUGAGCGAUGAAGGCUUUCGAGUCGUAAAGCUCUGUCCUGUGGGAAGAUAAUGACGGUACCAUAGAAGAAAGCCCCGGCUAAUUACGUGCCAGCCGCCGCGGUAA
rnacentral:rRNA from 2 species